ACGGGUGAGUAAUAUAUCGGAACGUACCUUUGAGUGGGGGAUAACUAGUCGAAAGAUUAGCUAAUACCGCAUACGAUCUACGGAUGAAAGUGGGGGCUCGCAAGGCCUCAUGCUCAUAGAGCGGCCGAUAUCUGAUUAGCUAGUUGGUGAGGUAAAGGCUCACCAAGGCAUCGAUCAGUAGCUGGUCUGAGAGGACGACCAGCCACACUGGGACUGAGACACGGCCCAGACUCCUACGGGAGGCAGCAGUGGGGAAUUUUGGACAAUGGGGGCAACCCUGAUCCAGCAAUGCCGCGUGAGUGAAGAAGGCCUUCGGGUUGUAAAGCUCUUUUGUCAGGGAAGAAACGGGAUGUUCUAAUACAGCGUCCUAAUGACGGUACCUGAAGAAUAAGCGCCGGCUAACUACGUGCCAGCAGCCGCGGUAAUACGUAGGGUGCAAGCGUUAAUCGGAAUUACUGGGCGUAAAGCGUGCGCAGGCGGUUGUGUAAGACAGGUGUGAAAUCCCCGGGCUUAACCUGGGAAUGGCAUUUGUGACUGCACGGCUAGAGUGUGUCAGAGGGGGGUAGAAUUCCACGUGUAGCAGU
rnacentral:rRNA from 1 species